rnacentral:tRNA from 1 species
CAAGGUAUAGCUCAGUGGUAGAGCGCGUGCUUAGCAUGCAUGAGGUCCUGGGUUCAAUCCCCAGCACCUUCA